GUGGGGAGGGGAGGGGGAAGUUUGCACACCUCUCUCCAUAUUGAGGGAGGGAGCCAAUUUCAUACUAUAUCUUUGAGUCUGUGCUCCAAGGGAGGUGGACAUCUGAGUGCUGAAGCAAGUUCCUGAAGCUGAGUCUUCCCAGAGCUGAACUGCAGCUGGGUGUGGCCCUGCCUGUGUAUGUGUUAGAGGAAGUUUUAAGAGCUUGGCUCACCAAGACAGGUUAAAGGGGGCCCAUGCUGGCAGAACAGGUAGACUCAGUGGUAUCACAGCACAUCAGAU